UACGGAGGGGGCGAGCGUUAUUCAGAAUUAUUGGGCGUAAAGGGCGCGUAGGCGGCUGUACAAGUCAAAGGUGAAAUCCCUCGGCUCAACUGAGGAACUGCCUUUGAAACUGUACGGCUUGAGGCCGGGAGGGGGUAGCGGAAUUCCCAGUGUAGCGGUGAAAUGCGUAGAUAUGUGGAGGAACACCGAUGGCGAAGGCAGCCCCCUGGGUCAAGAUUGACGCUCAUGCACGAAAGCGUGGGGAGCAAACAGG
rnacentral:rRNA from 1 species